CUCUGGUGAUGUGCAGGUUUUGGUCCUGUGUGGAAUUCUCCUGUAAGACAUCCUCCAGGAGAGGUGGCUAGUCUUCGGAUGCUGAGGAGUAACAAUAUUCUAACUAUUUAAAUAAAGCAGAUGACAGAAGGGAAAUGCAUGCAGCAGCAACUUUCAAAAACAUGUCCCUCUCCAUCCAAGAGCUGCAUUGAGAAAACAUGUGCCUGCUGUACUGUCUGAUCAAUGGAAACUCCAUUUAAGGCUUCCAUUUACAGAAAAUCAUCAGGAACUUCAGGAAACUUUUAGAUUUCUUCUGGAAUUUCAUUUGCACACUGCAAUGUUGAGAGGAACAGGAUCCACAAACUGAAGAAUGACUGAGGAUCCUAACAUCCAAGGCAGAAAUUGUCAGACAGGAGUCCUCAGAGGCAGUAACAAGGCUGUCUGGCCAGGAGACCUUGGGGACAGAGAAGUUUAUAUUUCAUCCAGAACUUCCUUUAG